AGGAGUCUGGCCGGCAGGGCUGGGGACAGGGCGCAAGCCUUCUGCCCCAGGUGGGUGUGGAGAGAGCUCUGGCAGUGGGUGGGGCCCUUCUGGCUGAAACUAGGGAGUGGGGUCAGAUGCGCCAAGCUCAUAAGGGGCACCUGAUGUGGCCCUUGGGUAGAGCAAGGCUGGCGUGGAGAGAAACCGACCCGUCUGUUGAGGCUGGGGCAGACAAGUGGCCCUAAGACUUUCCCAGGACCCUGUCUUGCAGCCAUUCCAUCCGGCUGUCCGGCGGUCCUACCACUGCCACCUGCUGGCUGAAGACCUCGGAUGAGGGGCUCCGUUGUGCCGACCCCGGCUUUCACCUCCUUCCCCACCGCUUCCAGAUGUCUCUGCUGAGCCGAAGCCCCUCCAGUGUCCCCCACGGGGUGGAAAGCCUUGAGGAUGGAUGGAGACUCAGAAGGCCUUGCUCUCUAUACCCCAAGGUCAAAGUCGGCUCGCAGAAUGUGGACAAGCCCCUUCACCUUCCAAGCCUCGGUCCCUGGCUCUGCAAAACACGGCUGACCACACCCACCUCCUGGGGUUGCCACGGAAGGCCUUCCAGGACAGUCUCCUCCCGGCAGAGGGCAGCCCCUUGGAGUUCCCCCAGGUCUGGCACACAGCCCAGGCCCGGCAGCGGAGGCCCUGCAGGGCCCUUGUUUUUCACGCUGCUGCAUAGCACAGGCCUGCCGGGCCCCACCACACCAGCAGCCGCACC